AAAUCCUCCUUUGCCCUCCAAUCCGCCUCCGCCGCGCAGCCAUUCUUCCUGCGCGUGCGACGCCAACUCUCACUCUCGGCUGAACAGCGAAGGUAGGUUACGAAUUCCACAAUCUUGGCGUCUUUUAGUUCUAUUUAGUCGGAUUUGUGUAGUAGCAUUGACCAAAUUUGUUUCUUCUCCGGCUACGGCGCCGGCCAAGUUUGCAUUCCGUCCAGGCUUUCCAGUGGGCUCGGCCUUCUCUUCCGCCGCGAGGCUCCCUUGUUCGUCCUCCUCCUGUCGUCUCUCCCUGGCCGCAGAGUCGCACACCGCCGUUCCACCUCCACCCAUGCCAUGGCCCCAUAACCCCAUCGCUGCUUUGGUCUGCGAGGUGAGGCUAGGAAAGCAGUAUGCCUGCGGUUGCCAAUCUCCCUCUAUUCUGCUCGAUUUUGAAAAACCCGCUGUAAGAGCCCGCCCAAAUCCAUUGAUCCGCCCAAAUCGAUUGCUUCUUCUCCGGUGAUGGCGCCGGUGCGGUUCGGAUGACGCGCAAGCAGCGGACUGGGCUCCCUCCAAGAGGGCCUAGCAUUCUUCAAUUCGCCCAUGGACCCGGCCAAACUUCCGAGGAACGGCUCCCCCUUCCGUUCGUAUGGGCAUCGUCGUGUUAAUGGUAUGUAAACUGAAACCGCCAGCGCUGUAAUCAUGGUGGUAAUAAUGGUGAUUAGUGUCACAGUUAUGCUCAGGUCUCUUCUGUACUUGAUAAAUAUGGAUACGCAUCGAGCAAUUGUAUUUCUGUGCCCAUUAUGUCUCGCCUUCAACCUCUAAUUUUCAUCAGAGAUGUUUCUUGCUUAAGGUUUGCACUUCUCUGUUUACCCACCAUCCUCCUUCUCCGUAACUUCAUCGGCGGCAACCAGGCAACAUUAGGUAACCAAUUGACUUAGUGUUCUUUGUUUCAGGUCUUGCCGUGCUUGUUUGUCUAGGACUUUUAUUUAGGGGCUGCUCACACCAACUGUGUGACCUUCAUUUGUGACCAUGGCUGCUGACAGGGAGAAAGAAGAAGGGUCGUGAGCCAUGCGAGGACGACGUUGGGUUUCACAUGGAACAAAUAGGACUGAGCCUGUCUUGCAUGGUCCAAGAUAAGAGGUUUGCUAGAAAAGCCAGGAUACAUACUUGUUUGGUCAGAGACUAGAUGGAAAAUCUAAGGUAUACAUACUGCUGACAUUACUUAGUACCAUGAUACACCAGAAAGGGAUGUUCUGAUCCUCACAUGCAAUUAAAUUCCUUUUAUUCUCAUUGUGAUGCACCUAACUGUACUAGGGUCAAACAACAAGCUUUUCCCCACAAAAUGUGGAAUCCAUGGCUGUAUGGUUAACAAAAUAAUCAACAGACAUUGAUUUAUUAUUUUCAGAAACAAGCAUUAUACUGCUACUCGUGAAGACAAGAAGCAUGAGAAUUCACCGAAGAAUCAAACAAAUUACCAAUGCCCGCACUCCUUCCUCGAGGUAUCUAGAAUUUGUUGUGUUCUGAAUUUAUCCCACUAUCGUAGAUAGAUAUGUUUUUUCUAACCAUAUGGUUGUGUUUCCAAGAUUGGGAACAGGAAAAUUCUAACCAUAUGGUUCUGUUUGAACUGCAACAUUUAAUAUUAUUAUUGAAACACAAUUAAAUAAAUGAAAUAGUAAAACAAGAAAGGGUAUGAGAAGUUUGAUAAGCCAGGGUCAUGUACUUCUCAAUUCAAAUGGUUAGAUUUUCGAAUGGCUUUAGUGGUCAUAUCUUAUAGCAUGUUUUAUUCCCACAAGUUAUUUGGAAGCUCUAGAAAUAUUUAAUUCCCUCCAUCUACUACUGUCAAAUAUGUUGAUACAGGCUCAACAUGUAUAUUUUACAAAGAAGCCCUUUUACUGUGAUCAAGGCAUGUUGCAAGCACUCUGAUGGAUGCGGGGUUAUACAUACAUAUGCACUCUAGAAUGCAUAACAUGAGUUGCAGACAAUGUUGCCACUAAAGAUGUUGUUUGUCGUCUGAAAAAAUUUGAAUUGGAUCACUUCAUCAAGUCAUAAAUGUUGUUAGAUUGACACCAGCUGGACAUAUACAAUUUAUUUAGCAUUAUUUCUGAAUUUUCAUGAAACAA